rnacentral:lncRNA from 1 species
UACCUCCUAAAAUUUCCAUUUCAUGAACCUAAGGGUCCAAUUCUGAUUUUACCAAUUCCAAGUUAAUUCAGACCAAUUUGGCACUUGUUAUAAGUCAUAAGUGACUUGUCUAAAGGUUCUAAAUUGACCAAAACAGUAUAUCCUACCAGAUUCAAAUUAUAGCUACUCUAGUUCCUUUAAUUAAGCCUAAAAUGCCUAAAUCACUAAAUCUUUUACCUAUUAUUCUAGACAGUUGAAUUCUAUUCAUCAUUGUUCAAAAUUUUGCAUUCCAUCUAUUAUAUCCAAUCUAAUACACAAUCAUUCAUCAUGAAUCAAAGGUACAUUUCUAAUCCCACAGUACAAACAGUUUCAUAUACAUGAACGGAGUUCAAACACCACAAUCGGAAAAUAACCUCUUUAUACACAUGCAGUAAAAUUUCACAUAACUAUGAUACAUUUCUACAAUCAAACAAUUGCAAUACACUCAAUACUAGCUCCCCUUACCUUGAGAUGAAGAAAUUCUAGCUCCCAAAGACAAAUUGUCGCACCGAAUAACCCGGAAGACCCUAGUAUCUCCCAUAGAUCAGUAAUUGAAACCAAGAAACAAAUUNAGAACUUAGAUGAGGCUGGAAUUUUGGGGAAAAACCCAAAUGGAUCACAUGCAAUCAGAUUAUUUGCAUGUUUGCAGUUUUGAGAUGAACAUGAGAAGAGAAUCCACUUACCGGUCGGAUGGAAGGAAUUGACCGGUGGAAUUGGGAACCCUCUGCGUCGGGAUUUCAGGAACAACACCUAGUCAAUUUUAUACGGGAUCAGUGAGAGGAAAAUUUGAGGAAGAAGGUUGAGGGAAAUGGGAGAGUUGAGAGCUGGUUUGAAAAGGGGAUAGACAAGUACGUUUCUGAAAUUAGUUUCAGAGAAGAUCACUUUUCUAACUUAAUUUUAUCUUUUAAAAA